rnacentral:misc_RNA from 1 species
CUCCUGUUCUCCAUCACUCUCGAGCCCUUUAUUCUCAUUAACACUGGAUGAGGUGAGUGAGCUGAGUGCUUGCAACACACGUAAGAUUGCUGCCCCAGCCAUGGAACCAGCACUAAGACCCAGCAUCUGUGUAUUACUCAGGGUGACAAGCUCACUGACGGCUGAAUUGCUCAAGCCAUGAGCCAAUUCUGAAAGCUCUGAACUGAAGAACUU